GUACCCACAAUUACUUGGAUAACUGUGGUAAUUCUAGAGCUAAUACAUGCAAACAGAGCUCCAACCGGAGACGGAAGGAGUGCUUUUAUUAGAUCAAAACCAAUCGGUGGCGAGUACGCUCGUCAUCGUUCAACUUGGUGACUCUGAAUAACUUUACGCUGAUCGCACGGUCUCGCACCGGCGACGCAUCUUUCAAAUGUCUGCCUUAUCAACUGUCGAUGGUAGGUUCUGCGCCUACCAUGGUUGUAACGGGUAACGGGGAAUCAGGGUUCGAUUCCGGAGAGGGAGCCUGAGAAACGGCUACCACAUCCAAGGAAGGCAGCAGGCGCGCAAAUUACCCACUCCCGGCACGGGGAGGUAGUGACGAAAAAUAACGAUACGGG
rnacentral:rRNA from 1 species